CUCCCCCUGCUCUCUCCUCCCCAUUCUCCUCCUUGCAGAGAAAUCUUCCAGGUCAACACAGCAGCCUUGCCCUGAUCCCCACCGCAGGCAGGCAAAGGGUUAACAUCACCUGUACAAGAAGAUACAUUGUAUCACCAAGUGUGCAACUGUGCAGGCUUAGGAUAGACACUGCCUCAGGGACGUGGCCAUUUGUCUCUGUGUAUACCUGGUGCGUUGUCACAGUGCAUGUUGGACACACAGGCUUUUAUCACACUGUGAACAGCAGUCAGCUGGUGGACAGCUAGUGGGAAGAAGCUUUAAAUGGAUCUGGUUGACUUCGCGGGAAUGGACCUGUAGCGUCUGCCUGAUGGAAGCAGUUCAAACAGUUUGAGACCUGGGCGCUUCAGAUCUGCCACGAUUUUCUCCGCUCGCUUCCUGACCCUUGACUGGUAUAAUUUCUGGACGGGAGGGAGGUCAGCCCCAACAGUCUUUUCAGCUGUCCUCCCCACCCUUUGCAGCCUUUGUUACUCUCAUUGGCAGCUCCAUACCAGACUGUGAUUGAGGUACAUAGGACCGAUUCUACGAUUGCUGUGUAGAAGAUGAGCAGCAGCUUCUGCGGGAUGUUGAAUUUCCUGAGUUGCCUCAGAAAGAACAUCUGCUGCUGGGCCUUCUUUAUGACAGUGCUUAUGUUGGGUCCUCAUUUGAGGUGUCAGGAGAUUUUUGACCCUAGGAAUUUGAUGGAGUCGACUCACGAAACCACGCUGUCGGCUAUUACGAGUGGUUGCAUGGCACUGGGUUUCCUUCUGAAGUCCACCACCAUCUCAACUGGUUUGAGGAAGUAAAAAAAAAAAUCAAAACAGAUUUGUUCACCACGGAGCAUGUUGGGUCACUCUUCAAACAAGCAUCUGACUGGCUGCAAUUAUCUGCUGCAAAUGUAAAUCAGAAGAUGUAGAUAGCUGCUAUUGCCACAUACUGUAUAUGUUAUCUGACUUCAAGACCGCUCCUUUGUGUGAGAUGCAGUGUUCUGCUUGUGCAGGAAAA